rnacentral:rRNA from 1 species
UACGUAGGGUGCGAGCGUUGUCCGGAAUUAUUGGGCGUAAAGGGCUCGUAGGCGGUUUGUCGCGUCGGGAGUGAAAUCCACUGGCUUAACUGGUGGCUUGCUUUCGAUACGAGCAGACUAGAGUGUUGCAGGGGAGACUGGAAUUCCUGGUGUAGCGGUGAAAUGCGCAGAUAUCAGGAGGAACACCGGUGGCGAAGGCAGCCUCCUGGGCCAACACUGACGCUCAUGCACGAAAGCGUGGGGAGCAAACAGG